AUUGAACGCUGGCGGCAUGCCUUACACAUGCAAGUCGAACGGCAGCACGGAGCUUGCUCUGGUGGCGAGUGGCGAACGGGUGAGUAAUAUAUCGGAACGUACCCUAGAGUGGGGGAUAACGUAGCGAAAGUUACGCUAAUACCGCAUACGAUCUAAGGAUGAAAGUGGGGGAUCGCAAGACCUCAUGCUCGUGGAGCGGCCGAUAUCUGAUUAGCUAGUUGGUAGGGUAAAAGCCUACCAAGGCAUCGAUCAGUAGCUGGUCUGAGAGGACGACCAGCCACACUGGAACUGAGACACGGUCCAGACUCCUACGGGAGGCAGCAGUGGGGAAUUUUGGACAAUGGGCGAAAGCCUGAUCCAGCAAUGCCGCGUGAGUGAAGAAGGCCUUCGGGUUGUAAAGCUCUUUUGUCAGGGAAGAAACGGUGAAAGCUAAUAUCUUUUGCUAAUGACGGUACCUGAAGAAUAAGCACCGGCUAACUACGUGCCAGCAGCCGCGGUAAUACGUAGGGUGCAAGCGUUAAUCGGAAUUACUGGGCGUAAAGCGUGCGCAGGCGGUUUUGUAAGUCUGAUGUGAAAUCCCCGGGCUCAACCUGGGAAUUGCAUUGGAGACUGCAAGGCUAGAAUCUGGCAGAGGGAGGUAGAAUUCCACGUGUAGCAGUGAAAUGCGUAGAUAUGUGGAGGAACACCGAUGGCGAAGGCAGCCCCCUGGGUCAAGAUUGACGCUCAUGCACGAAAGCGUGGGGAGCAAACAGGAUUAGAUACCCUGGUAGUCCACGCCCUAAACGAUGUCUACUAGUUGUCGGGUCUUAAUUGACUUGGUAACGCAGCUAACGCGUGAAGUAGACCGCCUGGGGAGUACGGUCGCAAGAUUAAAACUCAAAGGAAUUGACGGGGACCCGCACAAGCGGUGGAUGAUGUGGAUUAAUUCGAUGCAACGCGAAAAACCUUACCUACCCUUGACAUGGCUGGAAUCCUUGAGAGAUCAGGGAGUGCUCGAAAGAGAACCAGUACACAGGUGCUGCAUGGCUGUCGUCAGCUCGUGUCGUGAGAUGUCGGGUUAAGUCCCGCAACGAGCGCAACCCUUGUCAUUAGUUGCUACGAAAGGGCACUCUAAUGAGACUGCCGGUGACAAACCGGAGGAAGGUGGGGAUGACGUCAAGUCCUCAUGGCCCUUAUGGGUAGGGCUUCACACGUCAUACAAUGGUACAUACAGAGCGCCGCCAACCCGCGAGGGGGAGCUAAUCGCAGAAAGUGUAUCGUAGUCCGGAUUGUAGCCUGCAACUCGACUGCAUGAAGUUGGAAUCGCUAGUAAUCGCGGAUCAGCAUGUCGCGGUGAAUACGUUCCCGGGUCU
rnacentral:rRNA from 1 species